rnacentral:rRNA from 1 species
UACGAAGGGGGCUAGCGUUGCUCGGAAUCACUGGGCGUAAAGGGUGCGUAGGCGGGUCUUUAAGUCAGGGGUGAAAUCCCAGAGCUCAACUCUGGAACUGCCUUUGAUACUGGGUGUCUUGAGUGUGAGAGAGGUAUGUGGAACUCCGAGUGUAGAGGUGAAAUUCGUAGAUAUUCGGAAGAACACCAGUGGCGAAGGCGACAUACUGGCUCAUUACUGACGCUGAGGCUCGAAAGCGUGGGGAGCAAACAGGG